GAACUGCGGAGAUGAAGGAAGUUGGUUGGGGGAGGGAAGUGUGUGCUGUUAGAGAGCUACAGAAACUGACUAAUGACCACAGCUACUUUCAGCCACCCUGCUCUGCCUGGCUGUUCCACCUAGCUGACAGCAGGGACCACAUACUAGCCAGGGAUGGGCAGGAAGCUGGACAGCAGGUUGAACCCAUCCAGGACCCCAAUGUCUGCCUGAAUCCCGCAGGGUUUGGUCUGUACGCGGCUGCUAGGCUAUAGGGUUCGCAGGCUAGGCUUCCAUCCCAACCCGGAGCCCUAGAAGUUGCUCUCGGUGGAAAUAAGAACUCUUCACUGACGCAUUCUCUGCAGCCAGGUCCUGCUGCGGCGAGCUCCAGGCCUGCGAUGAGUCCUUGAGAGCCCCCCCGCCCCCGCCAGUCGCGACCGCCCAGCCAGACCUCUGAUUUUGAACUAUACGUGGACCCCCGGAGGCGUGGGCAGCAGAAGCGGCUCUAGAAUAAGCGAGAAGCAGGAUGCCAACACCGCUCACAGUUUAGAGUUCAGAUAGUCGCAAUAAAAAAAGAGAAAGAAAAAGAAAAACAAACAACUCUACAUCGUCUCCCUCCUUCCACACUGGCACCCAGAGCCCAGACCCCGAAAGUUGCCCAGUUGAAGAUUUGAUCUCUCAACUUCCUGCUCCAAAGCCCCACUGUCCUCUCCUGUCAUUAUGGACUCCCCCUCUAGAACUCAUUGGUUAAAAUACCUGAAUGGCUGCUCCCUGGGCCCGCAGGACACACAGGCCUCUCUCCAACCUGAAGGCUUCUCUCUCUGGGUUAUAGAAACCUGAACCUGAAACCCUGAACCCUUGACCUUCUCCUGAUAGCCUCCUCCUCAUUGUGGUCCUGCUCCAAGCUACAUGAACUUCAGCCUUUUGCCUUUUGGAUCUGAGUUUCCAGAAGCUGCUGCUUCCCUCACAUUGAUUUCCCCACUAAUGUACCAGCCCAGAAAGUAGAGGUGGCUCAGUUGAGACAGAACUGGCCAAUAGCUGAGAAAGACAGAGAGCAAGAACAUGGAAUCCUGGGGAGAACAUCUAGGGAUGAAGGAAAAGAAGAUCAAAGAAGCAUCUACUCCUAAGCUAUUUGACAUAGAGAAGGAGUCAGUGUAGAGGGGGGAGUACUGAAGUCUGAGACUACAUUAGAGAACAAAUGAAUACAAAAGGGAGAUGGGGGAAAAGCAAUGAUUUCUCAAGCACUGAAUGUGAGGUGGUACCUACUUAUAGGGCUAAUGAGUACAGAGAGUGUAGAUAGGGUUGCUGGACUGGGUCAGAUACCUGGGUGUGGCCUCCUUGUGGCUUUAAGUCCUCAGGCACUGUUGUGGAAUUUCAAUCUAACCCCAAUUGCCUCUCUCUGGAUACUUUCACUCAAUUUGCAAACAUUUGUGCUUCCACUAGACUAUAAACCCUAUAAAGGUAAAAACACUGUCUUCUCCAUCAUUUUAAA